rnacentral:rRNA from 1 species
AGAGUUUGAUCCUGGCUCAGAUUGAACGCUGGCGGCAUGGCUAAAACAUGCAAGUCGAACGCGAAAGGGAGCAAUCCCAAGUAGAGUGGCGAAAGGGCGAGUAAUGCAUUUCUAACGUACCCCAGACUCGAGGAUAGCUCGCCGAAAGGUGAAUUAAUACUCGAUGAUGCUGACGGGCUUCUUGGCCUGUCAGCCAAAGG